rnacentral:rRNA from 1 species
GACGUAGGGGGCCAGCGUUGCUCGGAAUUACUGGGCGUAAAGGGCGCGUAGGCGGUUAUCUAAGUUGGGGGUGAAAUCCCGGGGCUCAACCUCGGAAUUGCCUUCAAAACUGGAUAUCUUGAGUUCGGGAGAGGUGAGUGGAACUCCGAGUGUAGAGGUGAAAUUCGUAGAUAUUCGGAAGAACACCAGUGGCGAAGGCGACUCACUGGCCCGAUACUGACGCUGAGGCGCGAAAGCGUGGGGAGCAAACAGG